UCUCCCGGCCCGAGCGGGUGCAGGGGAGGAGUGAAACCGGUUCUCGGGUCAGCCCACCCCGGGAUCUGGCAGAGGAGGGCAGGCCGAUACUCGGGUGAGCCUGUGAAAACAGCCGGCAUCUGCCCGGCGCGUCCGAGGGCCUCCAAAUAUGUGCACUCUGUCUGCAUUGCUAAUCAGGACCUCUGAGGAACCUAGGUGGUGCCAGUCCUCUCUCGAAACCUUUGUAACUAUUAAGGCUGAAGUGCCAUUUAAAGAAAAAGGAAGGCAAAGAAAUGAGCUAUAGGAAGUCGUGAGCCUUCUCUACAAACUUUUCUGAAAAAGACAGUUUCAGACCACGUCACGGUGUCCUGAGUUGUAGCUGACUGAGCGCCCUUAUUUCCACGUGGCCAGAACGGACGGAGGCAACCGUCGUGGGUGAGAAGUUCUUGUCAUUUGUGAUCCUUUAUUGUUAAUUCUCUUCGUGUAUUUGGCCUGCCGCUUUGUUUUGGUUGUCAGAGUUUGUUACUGAGACAAGAGUCCGAUCAUCCUGUUCCGACAGCCGCAGAUUGAGUUGGCAUGAAACACCAUGAGCAUAUAGAGACUUCCUCUGGGCUUUCCCAGUGAGCACAGCCUUACAGAGGAAAGUUACUGACCUUAAGGACUGAGGAGCUUGAGGACAGUAUUCUCUCACCAGUAUUAAGUGUUAGAUACAUGUAUUAAUGGAUUCAUCGUUAAAAUGAUUAGAAGAGAAUGGCCUGAAAUAUGUGAUGAUGGGGCAGAGACUGCAUCGAUAGAAAAACUUAUUUUUCCCUUAAAAUCUGACUACGAAAAUUAGACUUUUAAGAAUUUAUAAUGUGUUUUGCAAAAGAAAAAAAAUGUCUCGAUUGACUUUAAAAAACAUGAUAACGUUGCCUUCGGGCUCCCUUAAGAUUUAAAAUUCUGUUGAGGAUUACGUGCAUGUAAAUUCUUUAAUAAACCACCCAGAGAGGUCUGCUUUGGAAAGAUUUAAUCCCUGAAUGUGUUUCUAGAGAAUUCUGGUUGCUAUUCCAAAUAGGGGCAGGCAGGCCAAUGUGCCUUGGGGAGUGUUGCAUGGGCCCAGUAGCAACUCCAGGCACAACCAAAUGGCAAAGCAUUUGACAUAUAAUUCUCCCUUUUUUUAUUUUUAGUUUUUGGUAUAUGUCACUGAGGUGUCUCCUCUCCUUUUCAUUUCUAUUUCUUUGUUUUUACCUGGAGCCAAUCUUGACAUCAACUCUCUAUAUUCACUGGCUUCCACAAGAAACACAGUCAGUCCAGGGACCCUUGGGUGGCUCAAUCAGUUGAGUGUCCAGCUCUUGAUUCCGGCUCAGGUCAUGAUCUCUCGGUUCGUAGGAGCGAGCCCUGAGUUGGGGUCUGUGCUGACAGCACAGAGCCUGCUUGGAUUCUCUCUCUCCCUCUCUCUCGGCCCCUCCUCUCGUUCUCUGUAAGUAAAUAAACAUUGAAAAAAAAAGAAAGAAAUACAAUCAAUCCAAAAUCCUUAACGAAGACUUGUGGUGGCAUCCUAAAAGGCUGUGUCCCACACUUUGCAAAGUUCCACCCCACAAUCCCAUUCAACAUCUCUUACAUCACCCUUGCUCCCCAGUUCCCAGCUAUCAGGAGUCACCUAUAAGGAUGCCCUCUGUCACACAGCCUCAGCUGGAGACUCCGUUGAUACACCUUCCCCCAGGAUGUUCCCUAAAGUAAUCCUGUUUGCCACCCACCUUGCCUAUCAUGCAGGGUAAUUCAGUCACCAAGCCCAAGUUCCCUAGCUUAUGCCAACACCCUGUAAACUGGUAGCUCUCCAGCUGCAAGAAUUUAUCCUCAGAGAGCAAAGCGGGUUACAAUCAAUAAUAAUUCUCUUACGUAUAAAAGUAAAUGCUUUAUUAAACUAGCAGUACUGAUAUUUUUCCCCCAAAACCACCUUUGUCUUAUGAAUAAAUUAAAAUGUCAGGGCGCCUGGGUGGCUCAGUCAGUUGAGUGUCCAAUUCUUGAUCUCAGCUCAGGUUACCACCUGACAGUUUCUGAAUUUGAGCCCCAAGUUGGGCUCUGUGCUAACAGUGCUGAGACUGCUUGGGAUUCUCUCUCUCCCUUUCUGUCUCUGCCCCUCCCCUGCUCGUACGCCCUCUGCCUCUCAAAAAAAAAUUAAUAAAUGUUUAAAAAAUUUUUUUAAAAAGUUAGCCUCCAGCAUAUUGUUUUCUCUACCUCCCUUUAAUUUUAUCGGAUUUUAAUUUAGUCACUUCAUUACAAUAGUUGCAAUUGAACAGACUGUUUUGUCCAAGGAAUCAUUUAUUUCUUAAAGUUAGUCAAUUGAUUGAAAAACAAACAACUGAGCGCCAAAAAGUAUUUGGAACUUUGUGGUUUGUACACAUAGGUAAAUAGUUAUCUCCGUAUAAAAUCCUAGAAUCAUUAGUUUGUAGAAAUUAGGGGUUCAAUCAGAGAGUGAUAUGAUUCUCAGAAAUUGAGAAAAAUUAGAGAAUUUCAUUUUACAUAAAUUAGCCUUUAGUGUUUACACUGCUUCAUCCAGCAUCAUUAUACCAAAAUUUCUAGAGAUAACGCUUUGAUGAGAGUUAGUUAAGUCAAGUAAGGUGAAAACACUGCUGUUGAUAAACUGCAUGGCUGAUUAACCACAUCUUGGAAAUGACCUUCCUGUAAAAUUGUGUAUGGAA